rnacentral:rRNA from 1 species
AAAGCGUGCGCAGGCGGUUUUGUAAGACUGUCGUGAAAUCCCCGGGCUCAACCUGGGAAUGGCGAUGGUGACUGCAAGGCUAGAGUUUGGCAGGAGGGGGGUAGAAUUCCACGUGUAGCAGUGAAAUGCGUAGAUAUGUGGAGGACACCGAUGGCGAAGGCAGCCCCCUGGGUCAAAACUGACGCUCAUGCACGAAAGCGUGGGGAGCAAACAGGAUUAGAUACCCUGGU